GGUUAAGUGACUAAGCGUACACGGUGGAUGCCUUGGCAGUCAGAGGCGAUGAAAGACGUAGUAACUUGCGAUAAGCCCAGAUUAGGUAGUAACAACCAUUUGAGUCUGGGAUUUCUGAAUGGGGAAACCCACGUGCAUAAGCACGUAUCCUUACCUGAAUACAUAGGGUAAGGAGGCGAACCGGGGGAACUGAAACAUCUAAGUACCCCGAGGAAAAGAAAUCAACCGAGAUUCCGAAAGUAGCGGCGAGCGAAAUUGGACUAGCCCUUAAGCUUUACACGCGUUAGACGAACGGUCUGGAAAGUCCGACGAUACAGGGUGAUAGUCCCGUAGUUGACGACGUGUGUUCAGUGAAAUCGAGUAGGGCGGGACACGUGAUAUCCUGUCUGAAUAUGGGGGGACCAUCCUCCAAGGCUAAAUACUACUGACUGACCGAUAGUGAACCAGUACCGUGAGGGAAAGGCGAAAAGAACCCCUGUGAGGGGAGUGAAAUAGAACCUGAAACCGUGUACGUACAAGCAGUAGGAGCACCUUCGUGGUGUGACUGCGUACCUUUUGUAUAAUGGGUCAGCGACUUAUAUUCAGUGGCAAGGUUAACCAUCUAGGGGAGCCGUAGGGAAACCGAGUCUUAACUGGGCGUUCAGUCUCUGGAUAUAGACCCGAAACCAGGUGAUCUAGCCAUGGGCAGGUUGAAGGUUGAGUAACAUCAACUGGAGGACCGAACCGACUAAUGUUGAAAAAUUAGCGGAUGACUUGUGGCUAGGGGUGAAAGGCCAAUCAAACCUGGAGAUAGCUGGUUCUCCCCGAAAGCUAUUUAGGUAGCGCCUCGGACGAAUACUACUGGGGGUAGAGCACUGUUAAGGCUAGGGGGUCAUCCCGACUUACCAACCCUUUGCAAACUCCGAAUACCAGUAAGUACUAUCCGGGAGACACACGGCGGGUGCUAACGUCCGUCGUGGAGAGGGAAACAACCCAGACCGCCAGCUAAGGUCCCAAAUUACUACUAAGUGGGAAACGAUGUGGGAAGGCUCAGACAGCCAGGAUGUUGGCUUAGAAGCAGCCAUCAUUUAAAGAAAGCGUAAUAGCUCACUGGUCGAGUCGGCCUGCGCGGAAGAUGUAACGGGGCUAAGUAGUAAACCGAAGCUGCGGCAAUGUGCUUUUGCACAUUGGGUAGGGGAGCGUUCUGUAAGCGGUUGAAGGUGUGUGGUAACGCAUGCUGGACGUAUCAGAAGUGCGAAUGCUGACAUGAGUAACGAUAAAGGGGGUGAAAAACCUCCUCGCCGGAAGACCAAGGGUUCCUGUCCAACGUUAAUCGGGGCAGGGUAAGUCGACCCCUAAGGCGAGGCCGAAAGGCGUAGUCGAUGGGAAACGGGUUAAUAUUCCCGUACUUCUUACAAUUGCGAUGGGGGGACGGAGAAGGCUAGGUGGGCCUGGCGACGGUUGUCCAGGUUCAAGUGCGUAGGCUUAAGAGUUAGGUAAAUCCGGCUCUUUUUAAGGCUGAGACACGACGUCGAGCACCUACGGGUGUAAAGUCAUUGAUGCCAUGCUUCCAGGAAAAGCCUCUAAGCUUCAGAUUGUAAGGAAUCGUACCCCAAACCGACACAGGUGGUCGGGUAGAGAAUACCAAGGCGCUUGAGAGAACUCGGGUGAAGGAACUAGGCAAAAUGGUACCGUAACUUCGGGAGAAGGUACGCUCUUGAUGGUGAAGUCCCUUGCGGAUGGAGCUAUUGAGAGUCGCAGAUACCAGGUGGCUGCAACUGUUUAUUAAAAACACAGCACUGUGCAAAAUCGUAAGAUGACGUAUACGGUGUGACGCCUGCCCGGUGCCGGAAGGUUAAUUGAUGGGGUUAGACUUAGGUCGAAGCUCUUGAUCGAAGCCCCGGUAAACGGCGGCCGUAACUAUAACGGUCCUAAGGUAGCGAAAUUCCUUGUCGGGUAAGUUCCGACCUGCACGAAUGGCGUAAUGAUGGCCACGCUGUCUCCACCCGAGACUCAGUGAAAUUGAAAUCGCUGUGAAGAUGCAGUGUACCCGCGGCUAGACGGAAAGACCCCGUGAACCUUUACUACAGCUUGGCACUGAACAUUGACCCUACAUGUGUAGGAUAGGUGGGAGGCUUUGAAGCACGUACGCCAGUAUGUGUGGAGCCGUCCUUGAAAUACCACCCUUGUAGUGUUGAUGUUCUAACGUCGACCCCUUAUCGGGGUUGCGGACAGUGCCUGGUGGGUAGUUUGACUGGGGCGGUCUCCUCCCAAAGAGUAACGGAGGAGCACGAAGGUGGGCUAAUCACGGUUGGACAUCGUGAGGUUAGUGCAAUGGCAUAAGCCCGCUUGACUGCGAGAAUGACAAUUCGAGCAGGUGCGAAAGCAGGUCAUAGUGAUCCGGUGGUUCUGAAUGGAAGGGCCAUCGCUCAACGGAUAAAAGGUACUCCGGGGAUAACAGGCUGAUACCGCCCAAGAGUUCAUAUCGACGGCGGUGUUUGGCACCUCGAUGUCGGCUCAUCACAUCCUGGGGCUGAAGUCGGUCCCAAGGGUAUGGCUGUUCGCCAUUUAAAGUGGUACGCGAGCUGGGUUUAGAACGUCGUGAGACAGUUCGGUCCCUAUCUGCCGUGGGCGUUGGAAGAUUGAAGGGGGCUGCUCCUAGUACGAGAGGACCGGAGUGGACGAACCUCUGGUGUUCGGGUUGUGUCGCCAGACGCAUUGCCCGGUAGCUAAGUUCGGAAUCGAUAACCGCUGAAAGCAUCUAAGCGGGAAGCGAGCCCUGAGAUGAGUCUUCCCUGAUACUUUAAGUAUCCUAAAGGGUUGUCGGAGACUACGACGUUGAUAGGUCAGGUGUGUAAGUGCUGUGAGGCAUUGAGCUAACUGAUACUAAUUGCCCGUGAGGCUUAACCAU
rnacentral:rRNA from 1 species